UACGAAGGGGGCUAGCGUUGUUCGGAAUUACUGGGCGUAAAGCGCGCGCAGGCGGCUAUCCAAGUCAGUGGUGAAAGCUCGGAGCUCAACUCCGGAACUGCCAUUGAAACUGUUUAGCUUGAGGAUGAGAGAGGUGAGUGGAAUUCCCAGUGUAGAGGUGAAAUUCGUAGAUAUUGGGAAGAACACCGGUGGCGAAGGCGGCUCACUGGCCCGAUACUGACGCUGAUGCACGAAAGCGUGGGGAGCAAACAGG
rnacentral:rRNA from 1 species